UAACACGCUGCGGUCGUAUUUUUAUUGCCAGUGUUAUUUUAGCUGUACGUGUCAUUAACAAAGGUUAUACUAGAGUGAUGUCCCUUCGCUUAACUGGCUGGAGGGGACCAGCUCUGACGUUUUUGUAUCUUCUGUGGAUCUACGAUGAGUUUUGGUUUCUCCCGUUCAUCUGUAAUGUUUGUUGCACCUUUCGUCUCUGUUGUGGAUUGUUAUUCUGUGCUUGUGCUACGUCAUUACUUACAAUAGACAUCUUCGUCCACUAACGGCUUCCGUCUCAUGUUCUUGCAUUUGUCACCUUGGUGUGUACCUGCUGGUCUUGACAUUGGUUGAUCUUCAUUGGUUGUGCUUCAGUUUUUUUCCUUUUCUCUAUCUUUUGCCAGGUCCCUAAAGUCAGCCAUUCCUUGUGCUGUUUGAAUAACAAGCUCUUUAAGUGGCACCUUAUAACAUAUUCAUCGACACACAUCCUAAAGCCUUGUCUGCUCCUUUAUCUUGCAGUACCACCUGGCAGAAGGCGAAGACGAUUGCAGCCAUGGCAAACCGACAUGUUAGUACGAAGGUUCAACAUGUCUGAGUACCCUAGUCCUGCUACUGUGGCGAUGCUGAGUAGACGGACACGCAUGAAACAACAAAAGAUUUACCGCUGGUUCGUCAAUCGGCGCUCUGCCCAACGUCGCGCGCAACAUCGCCGUCGCCCUCAACAGCGCCGUCGCCCACCUCGGCCUUGAGGGAUUCUCCGCUUAUGGACAUUUUUGAUCGCAUUUUUAUAAUUAUCUUUUAUCUUUUUUCUAAUUAGUUUUUAUGUAAGUAUAUUGUCUAGGCAAAGAUUUUUUACAACAAAAUUUGUUUACAACAGGAUUUUUGAGUAAUGUUUUAAUUGUUCUGAUCUAUCUUUUUUAUUUUUGUACUCUUUUGAGCAAAUUGUAUUUGAUAAAAAUGUGCAUUAAACAUAUAUAUAUAAGAAUUCGGUGUAAAAUUGUGAGAAAAAAUAGGCUUGUUUCUCUGUAUGUGUGACAAUGUUUACGCAAUGAAAUGUGUUAAUUUGUACCUCAUGGUUUAGAAUAGUCGAUACAAUAUUAUAAUCAGAUAUUUCAGUACACACUUUACCGUGUGCUUUUGAAAUAGUUUUAUUAAAAGAUCUGCAAACAUUUAA